UACGAACCUUCUGAGAAGGUCAGCUCCCAAGCCACAGCUCCAGUCUAGCACAGCAACAGGCACAGCAAAAUUCCACAUAUGGCAUUACAAACGUGCCCUAAACUCUGCCCCAGAGGGACCAUCUUGGAGGCCAAGAGAGCACUUGAGUCUCAGUUCCCCUGCAGACCUUUGGCUCUG
ensembl:misc_RNA